UACGGGGGGGCAAGCGUUGUUCGGAAUUACUGGGCGUAAAGGGCUCGUAGGUGGCCAACUAAGUCAGACGUGAAAUCCCUCAGCUUAACUGGGGAACUGCGUCUGAUACUGGAUGGCUUGAGUUCGGGAGAGGGAUGCGGAAUUCCAGGUGUAGCGGUGAAAUGCGUAGAUAUCUGGAGGAACACCGGUGGCGAAGGCGGCAUCCUGGACCGACACUGACGCUGAGGAGCGAAAGCCAGGGGAGCAAAGCGGG
rnacentral:rRNA from 1 species